CUGCAAAUAUUCUCGCUGUUCUGAUUGUGUCAUAAUCAGGGCAGGCUAAACAUUUGCUAUAGUAAGACCAUGCAUGUGUCCCCAGACCUUGAUCUUUCCCUAGGUCUGGUUUUAUAAAUGCUGCUGAUAAAU
rnacentral:snoRNA from 13 species